rnacentral:rRNA from 1 species
GACGAACGCUGGCGGCGUGCUUAACACAUGCAAGUCGAACGAAGUGGCGAACGGGUGAGUAAUACGUGAGUAACCUGCCCUCCUUUUUGGGAAAAGCCUUGGAAACGGGGUCUAAUACCGAAUAAAGGGGGAUGGGCUCGCGGCCUAUCAGCUUGUUGGUGGGGUGAUGGACUACCAAGGCGGUGACGGGUAGCCGGCCUGAGAGGGUGACCGGGCAACUUGGGACCGGGAUACGGCCCAGACGGCGACGGGAGGGGGCAGUGGGGGAUAUUGGACAAUGGGCGGAAGCAGGAUGCAGGGGUGCAGGGUGGGGGAUGAAGGCUUUCGGGUUGUAAUCCUCUGGGGCUAUCGAGCGGGUAGGUGGAGAAGAAGCGCCGGCUAACUACGUGCCAGCCGCCGCGGUAAUUC